ACGGGGCGCAGCAGGCGCGAAACCUUCACAAUGCACGAAAGUGUGAUGAGGUCAUCCCGAGUCCUAGGCUUACGUCUAGGUUUUCUGGAGUUUGAUAAGCUUCAGGAAUAAGGAGGGGGCAAGAACGGUGCCAGCCGCCGCGGUAAAACCGUCUCUUCGAGUGGCCACCGCGUUUACUGGGCUUAAAGCGUGCGUAGCGGGAUUAGUCCGUCCCACAUUAAAGACGGCUUCUCAAGAGUCCGAAGUGUGUGGGAAACAGCUAAUCUUGGCAAUGGGAUAGGGGCUCGGUACCCGUGGUGUAAAGGUGAAAUUUUAUAAUCCCACGGGGACCACCGAUGGCGAAGGCAGAGCCCUGGAACAUGUGCGACCGUCAGGCACGAAAGGGUGGGUAGCGAGCCGGAUUAGAUACCCGGGUAGUCCACCCCGUAAACGAUGCGGAUUAAGUGUAUGGGAAGCGAAUGCUUUCCAUGUGCCGUAGGGAAACCGUUAAAUCCGCCGCCUGGGAAGUACGCUCGCAAGAGUGAAACUUAAAGCAAUUGGCGGGAGAGCGCCACAAUGGGUGGAGCCUGCGGCUUAAUUGGACUCAACGCCGGAAAACUCACCAGAGUCUUCUAUCCGAUGCCAACCAGCUUGAAGAGCUUGUUGAAAGGAUGAAAGGGAAGUGCAUGGCCGUCUCCAGCUCGUGCCGUGAGGUGUCCUGUUAAGUCAGGCAACGAGCGAGAUCUCCGGGAAUACUUACCAGCGGAACCUAGCGGUUGCCGGGCACAGUAUUC
rnacentral:rRNA from 1 species